GGAGUAACCAUUUUGGAGCUAGCCGUCGAAGGUGGGACAAAUGAUUGGGGUGAAGUCGUAACAAGGUAGCCGUAUCGGAAGGUGCGGCUGGAUCACCUCCUUUCUAAGGA
rnacentral:rRNA from 2 species